CUAUGGGAUUUGCCACAACUAUCUGUAGUCAUAAAACCGGAACCUUCACUUUAAAUCAGUUGUCGAGGCUUAAGCUGGUGGAAGAAAAGUUGAUCCUCCAGACAGCACCUCAAAGUUAUCAACUUCUCUGAUUUCUCUACUGAUUGAAGCCAUUGCUCAGAAUUAUGCGCCUGAGACAAUGGGAGAUGUAGAGCUGUCUGCUUCACCAACUGAAAAGGCCAUUCUACAGUGGGGGAUCAAGCUGGAGAUGGAAAUUGAAGUUGUUCGGUCAAGUUCCUCUAUAAUUCAUGUUUUCCCUUUCAAUUCUGAGAAAAAACGAGGUGGAGUUGUUGUAAAGCUGAAGAUGUAUUUCUAAAUGGCUAUUGAAGAUAUGGCUACUGAUAGUCUGUGCUGUGUUGCCAUUGCAUAUAGAUCACAUGACAUAAAAGACAUUCCUCUAGAUAAAGAACAGUAAACCAAGUGGGCAUUACCAGAGGAUGAGCUUAUCUUACUGGCUAUUGUGGGCAUAAAGGAUCCUUGUCGUCCUGAAGUAAAAGAUGCCAUGAAAUGCCAAAAUGCUGGAGUUAAGGUAACGAAAGGUUACUGGUGACCAUCUCCAAAUUGCCAAAGCAAUUGCUUUGGAAUGCGGGAUACUAGAUCCAGAAGCAGAUGCUAUUGCGCCAAACCUUAUUAAAGGAAAAACUUUCCGUUCCUUAAGUGAUGAGGAAAGAGAAGAAGUUGCUGAGAAGAUAUCAGUAUGGUUAUGGGAAGAUCAUCUCCUAACGACAAGCUUCUGAUUGUUCAAGCAUUGGGAAAGAGAGGACACUUUGUAGCUGUAAGUGGGGAUGGCACUAAUGAUGCUCCUGCUCCACAAGGUGAUCUUCCACUGAAUGUAGUGUAGGUUAAUCUUAUCAUUUCGGACGCCCUUUGGUGCAGUAGCACUAGCUACCAAGCCUCCAACUGACCACCUUAUGCAUAGGCCUCCAGUUGGUAGGAGGUGAGAGUUCCUGGAUGUUAUUAUUGGUGCAACAUAUGUGAAGAAUUUUGGUCAAAAGCUUGGAUAUCAUGUUUUUUUCUUGUCAACUUAAAUCUCAAUUUCUUUUAGAUGUGUAUUGGGAUUUCUUCACUUGCUGAAACCUGUUGUUUAUCCUUACUCUUCAUGUACGCACUGG